rnacentral:rRNA from 1 species
AUUGAACGCUGGCGGCAGGCUUAACACAUGCAAGUCGGGCGCGAAAGGUCUUCGGACUGAGUAGAGCGACGGACGGGUGAGUAACGCGUGGGAAAUUGCCCAGUAGUGGGGGACAACAACCGGAAACGGUUGCUAAUACCGCAUACGCCCUACGGGGGAAAGCGGGGGAUCUUCGGACCUCGUGCUAUUGGAUAUGCCCGCGUCGGAUUAGCUAGUUGGUAGGGUAAAGGCCUACCAAGGCGACGAUCCGUAGCUGGUCUGAGAGGAUGAUCAGCCACACUGGGACUGAGACACGGCCCAGACUCCUACGGGAGGCAGCAGUGGGGAAUAUUGGACAAUGGGGGCAACCCUGAUCCAGCCAUGCCGCGUGUGUGAAGAAGGCCUUCGGGUUGUAAAGCACUUUCAGUAGGGAGGAAGGCCUGUAGAUUAAUACUCUGCAGGAUUGACGUUACCUACAGAAGAAGCACCGGCUAACUCCGUGCCAGCAGCCGCCGUAACAC